UCGGUACUUUGCCCAAAAAAAACAAAUAUCUUGCCCUUUGCACGGAAAUAUUUCACCCAAAAAAAUUACUGGCGCCCAACAAGGGCUCUAUCUAUCUAUUGUCACAGUAACUGAUAUAUUAUUUUUCUGAUAUUUUCUCAGGAGAAAUGAUAAGUCAGAAAGAUAAAUGUACAACAUGUCAGGGAAAGAAAACAGUUAAAGAAAAUAAAGUAUUAGAGGUCAGUGAAGAUUUGCCUCCAAACAAUUUUGCUCUUAAUAGGAUGAAGCCCUCUCUCCCCCGCCCCCAGGAUAUCCAAUGUUCCCCUCCUAAGAAAGUUCAAUGUAUAAAUUCUUGAAUGUGAUCUUGAACAGGUUUAUGUGGAUAAAGGAAUGAGGGAUCAUCAAAAAAUAACUUUUGAUGGAGAAGGAGAUCAAGAGGUGAGACAAUAAAAUGUACAUUUUUAACCCACUCAUUGCCAGCACUCUCCCCUUGAUGAGUAAAAUGGUCUGGUGUUAGACAGAG